ACUCCUACGGGAGGCAGCAGUGGGGAAUCUUAGACAAUGGGCGCAAGCCUGAUCUAGCCGAUGCCGCGUGAUCGGAUGAAGGCCUUAGGGUUGUAAAGGAUCUUUCAGAUGGGAAGAUAAUGACGGUACCCAUCAGAAGAAGCCCCGGCUUAACUCCGUGCCAGCAGCCGCGGUAAUACGGAGGGGGCUAGCGUUAUUCGGAAAUUACUGGGCGUAAAGCGCACGUAGGCGGAUC
rnacentral:rRNA from 1 species